rnacentral:rRNA from 1 species
AGUCGAACGGUAGCACAGAGAGCUUGCUCUUGGGUGACGAGUGGCGGACGGGUGAGUAAUGUCUGGGAAACUGCCCGAUGGAGGGGGAUAACUACUGGAAACGGUAGCUAAUACCGCAUAACGUCGCAAGACCAAAGUGGGGGACCUUCGGGCCUCACACCAUCGGAUGUGCCCAGAUGGGAUUAGCUAGUAGGUGGGGUAAUGGCUCACCUAGGCGACGAUCCCUAGCUGGUCUGAGAGGAUGACCAGCCACACUGGAACUGAGACACGGUCCAGACUCCUACGGGAGGCAGCAGUGGGGAAUAUUGCACAAUGGGCGCAAGCCUGAUGCAGCCAUGCCGCGUGUAUGAAGAAGGCCUUCGGGUUGUAAAGUACUUUCAGCGAGGAGGAAGGCAUUAAGGUUAAUAACCUUGGUGAUUGACGUUACUCGCAGAAGAAGCACCGGCUAACUCCGUGCCAGCAGCCGCGGUAAUACGGAGGGUGCAAGCGUUAAUCGGAAUUACUGGGCGUAAAGCGCACGCAGGCGGUCUGUCAAGUCGGAUGUGAAAUCCCCGGGCUCAACCUGGGAACUGCAUUCGAAACUGGCAGGCUAGAGUCUUGUAGAGGGGGGUAGAAUUCCAGGUGUAGCGGUGAAAUGCGUAGAGAUCUGGA